rnacentral:lncRNA from 1 species
UGUGACCCCGGGUGGCAUAUAGACCUACUGCCCUUGCUGUUGGAAAAAGCCACAAAACCCAAGGUUCUGAGUUCUUGAAAAGAAGGAGCUGGUCUAUUUGCUUCCCAAGUGCGAGGUCCAGAUGGUAAAGGGAUCAAGAGGAAAGGUUGGGACAGCAGCAGGGUUACUGCCUGCAGAGCCUCCUCCCUGGGCCAGUCCACAUCCCCUGCAUCUCAUAAUGCUUCACUGGGAAUCAAAUAGAACGUUUUUAAAUUCACACUAUUUUAUCUUCACUUCCCUUUGUCUAGAUUUUAUUUUCAACAGACGACUUCUUUGCUCCUGCAGAAAACCUCAUAAAGGUACUGUGAACGCGCGUGGUGCGUGAGGAGGCUGGUGGGAAGGCCCCUGCCCUUUAGCUGACCUCUCACUGACCAGCACAGCAGCGUGGCCACAUGGAAACAUGCAGACAGCAGGAGCGGGGGGGGAGGAACGUGGGCCACAUGGCCUUAGGGGGACACACUGAGGUCCGUGCCCUGCUCCCUUGACAAAUGAGGACUUCAUCGUGUGUCUCGGGAAGAAGCUGGCCGUUUUGAAUCGUUGGGAAAAUGCGUUACCCUCCUCGUUAAGAACGUGUAGGACAGUUUCUCAUUAAAAAAGGGACACAUUAGGCAGCUCAGGAGGAUGAGGUAGGAGCAGUGAAGUCCAAAGCCAGGCUCAGCGGCUUAGUGAGGGCCGAAGCAGCUUAGAGAGGCCCUGUCCCCAAAUGAGAACAUAGAAAGGGCCGGGAUGUUGCUCAGGGGUUAAGUGCCCCUGGCUUCAAUCCUGCCCCCACACCCCCCCAAAAGGACAAACACAACCAAGAGACAGAACAGGCCCAGUGGCCUGAGGAAGGGUAGAGCCGCCCCCCCCCGCGCCUGCAAGGUAGGCGGACCUGCGACCCACUGGCAGUACAGCCCCAGAGGCCUGCAGAGGGGCAGUGCCGCUGCCUGCGCCUGCAAAGUAGACAGAACUGUGACCACCGACAGAACAAGCCUAGCGGCCCGCAGAGGGACAGA